AUCCAGGUGGAGCAGAUGCAUCAACACAGAGAUCAAGAUACUGCAGUACUUCUUCUGUGAAACACAUCGACACACUGCAGCAAGUAUUCAUGUGUUCAGUGAAGACGAGCUCUAAUGAACUCCUGCAUGAAGGUGAACCUCCUCCACAGAUAUAAGACGGAUAAAUCAGCUGUUCGAGGAGAGAGCUCACCUUGUGGGGGCAGAGCCUCGAGCCGAACAUCUUCUUCAGGCAGAAAAUGAACGACUGAUGCAGUCGCUCGUCGAUUCCCUCAAAAUGGCUGCAGGCCAGAAUAACGACCUCCUUUGGGUGAGAGUCGAGCCAGGAGGCCACAGACGACAGGGUUUCCUGUGGAGAGAGCACAGUCACUAUAACCCUGCUUUAAAAACAUCUGGACCUUUAACAAUACGAUGACUGUACUCACUAAAACGGUCAAAUGUGUGUAUAUGACGUGUGUGAAGUAAAGGUCGCUGGAGCAGUCGUUGGGUUUGUGUGCGACGCGGAGAUCGAAGUAUCGAAUCCCCAUCGAGAGCUGCUCCUCCACGCUUUUGUCCUGCGAGGAAGAUUCACCAAACAUCAAAAACACUUCUAUAAAUAAACAUUACACAACAGCAAACACCUUCUCCGUCACCUGCAGUACAGCUCACCUGUGUGGUGGCCCAUUUAAAGAUGGUGGGUCUGGUGAAACAGGAGAACAGUGCGUCCAGCAUCCUGAGACAGUCGGAUUCAGAGCGGACCAAAGGAGAGUUGAUGUCCAGACAGUAACUCAUGGCAUCAUGGCUCCCUGCACACACGGGGGGGGGGGGAGUUAACAAGAAGUAAAGCUCAGAGGUGACCGAAGAGGAACCUGUUUGUGGAACAACCCCCCCUGACCAAAGCAUGAGACGAGUUUCUACAUCCAGCUGUCGUCAGCAACAGGCUUUACACAAAGUAUUAAAUACAUUUCAGUGAGCGUGUUCAAACCUGUCUCUCUGUCGUUCAUUUUAUUACACACAACAUAUCUGAACUUAUUAGUUUGGGUUUCUUUGCAUGUGUGGAUUGUUUGUGUUGUCACCGACAUCUGGGGAAAGUUUCAUGUCAAAAGCAUCUUUAUAAAUAUAUUCACUGAGCAGAAUGGUGACGUGUUCGAUACUUAUUCUACCCGCUGGAUUUAAGAGUAUGUGUGACUGACAGUUUAUAUGUUUAUGUGAAGUCUCUAAUAACCUAAACGUAUACAGCUGAUCAUAACAUAAGAAAAGAAGAAGAAGGUUAUUAUGUUUUUAUUCAAGUCUUCACAUUUGUUAAGUUUGUCCCUGUUGUCAUAACAUAUAUUAUUCAGUAAGGACAGCUCACUACCUCGCCACGUUUUAUGUAUUUCAUUUGAACUCCUGCUGUUAAUGUAACUUCUUUAGUUUCUUUAAGUCAAUGUGUUUUAUUUGACCCCGUUUUUAAUAUUAGAUGUUUCACCUGCAAAGACACAUGUCUACCUUUGCAUGGAAAAUAAAGUAUCUGAUACUCUC